AGUGAACGCUGGCGGUAGGCCUAACACAUGCAAGUCGAACGGCAGCACAGUAAGAGCUUGCUCUUACGGGUGGCGAGUGGCGGACGGGGGAGGAAUACAUCGGAAUCUACUUUUUCGGGGGGGAUAACGUAGGGAAACUUACGCUAAUACCGCAUACGACCUACGGGUGAAAGCAGGGGAUCUUCGGACCUUGCGCGAUUGAAUGAGCCGAUGUCGGAUUAGCUAGUUGGCGGGGUAAAGGCCCACCAAGGCGACGAUCCGUAGCUGGUCCGAGAGGAUGAUUCGCCACAUUGGCACUGAGACACGGUCCCGACUCCUACGGGAGGAAGCAGUGGGGAAUAUUGGACAAUGGGCGAAAGCCUGAUACAGCAAUACCGCGUGAGUGCAGAAGGACUUCGGGUUGUAAAGCCAUUUUGUUGGGAAAGAAAAGAAGCAGGUUUACCCCCGGCUGUAAUGACGGUACCCAAAGAAUAAGCACCGGCUAACUUCGUG
rnacentral:rRNA from 1 species